CGGGAAACCGGUGCUAAUACCGCAUAACACAUUGAAAUGGAAUCAUUAUGAUGUCAAAGGAGGAAUCCGGUAUAAGAUGGGCCCGCGUCCAAUUAGCUAGUUGGUGAGGUAACGGCUCACCAAGGCGACGAUUGGUAGCCGAACUGAGAGGUUGAUCGGCCACAUUGGGACUGAGACACGGCCCAGACUCCUACGGGAGGCAGCAGUGGGGAAUAUUGCACAAUGGGGGAAACCCUGAUGCAGCAACGCCGCGUGAAGGAUGAAGGUCUUCGGAUUGUAAACUUCUUUGAUUGGGGAAGAAGAAGUGACGGUACCCAAAAAACAAGCCACGGCUAACUACGUGCCAGCAGCCGCGGUAAUACGUAGGUGGCAAGCGUCGUCCGGAAUUACUGGGUGUAAAGGGCGUGUAGGCGGGGAUGCCAAGUCAGGUGUGAAAGCCCAUGGCUCAACUGUGGGACUGCAUCUGAAACUGAAUCUCUUGAGUACUGGAGAGGGAAGUGGAAUUCCUAGUGUAGCGGUGAAAUGCGUAGAGAUUAGGAGGAACACCAGUGGCGAAGGCGGCUUCCUGGACAGUAACUGACGCUGAGGCGCGAAAGCGUGGGGAGCGAACAGGAUUAGAUACCCUGGUAGUCCACGCCGUAAACGAUGGAUACUAGGUGUAGGAGGUAUCGACCCCUUCUGUGCCGGAGUUAACACAUUAAGUAUCCCACCUGGGGAAUACGACCGCAAGGUUGAAACUCAAAGGAAUUGACGGGGGCCCGCACAAGCAGUGGAGUAUGUGGUUUAAUUCGAAGCAACGCGAAGAACCUUACCAGGGCUUGACAUCCCUUGACAGCUCUAGAGAUAGAGUUUCCCUUCGGGGCAAGGAGACAGGUGGUGCAUGGUUGUCGUCAGCUCGUGUCGUGAGAUGUUGGGUUAAGUCCCGUAACGAGCGCAACCCUUAUUGUUAGUUGCCAGCAAGUAAAGUUGGGCACUCUAACGAGACUGCCGGUGAUAAAUCGGAGGAAGGUGGGGAUGACGUCAAAUCAUCAUGCCCCUUAUGUCCUGGGCUACACACGUACUACAAUGGCUGGUA
rnacentral:rRNA from 1 species